rnacentral:rRNA from 1 species
UGCCAGCCGCCGCGGUAAUACGGAGGGUGUAAGCGUUGUUCGGAAUUACUGGGCGUAAAGGGUUCGUAGGCGGACCGAUAAGUCAGAGGUGAAAGCCAACGGCUCAACCGUUGAACUGCCUCUGAUACUGUCGGUCUUGAGUCCGUUAGGGGAUGGCGGAAUUCCCGGUGUAGAGGUGAAAUUCGUAGAUAUCGGGAGGAACACCAGUGGCGAAGGCGGCCAUCUGGACGGUGACUGACACUCAGGCCCGAAAGCGUGGGGAGCGAACAGGAUUAGAUA